UAGUGGGUCCUACAGAUUGUGUUCUAGUUAUACUUUAGUUAGUAAUGGAUGGAAUAUGUUAGUAAAGUUAAGAAAAAGUGUCCUAAAAGCAAAAACUGUCUUAUUGUGAUAUAAAAAACUUAAAACUGUCCUUUAAUGUUAAUAACUCAAGAAAUAAAUUAAGGGUAUCAGGUUGGGGACAAAUUAAUAGUUAGGGUUAAACUAUGUGAGGAGAACAAAAAAAUCUAAAGGAGACGACAAAAAAGGGACAAAGGGAAACACGUUAAUGUACAAAUAUAGCAAGGAGUCAGGAACUUAGGUACGAUGUCCAUACGUUUUGCGGUCCAAAG
rnacentral:lncRNA from 1 species